UAAGCCUUAUAAAUAGUGGUGGAAAAAUGGUUCAGCAUCUAUUAGCAGAAAUUUUCUUAAAAUGAAUCAGUCAGCAGUAUUAGUUUGCGCGUUGGCAGUUUUGCUGGCUCUUUUCAGUGCCGCUUUUGGACUGGACCCCUGUGAGAGCACACAAAGUCGCAAUUAUGUGGAAAGGAAAGGCUAGCAAUAUGUUACGAAUAUUUUAUUCCGUUUAAACCGAUGCAAAUAUUUUUUAAGUUCUUGUCCCAAGACUCUCCGCAAAUAAAUGAAAAAAAUAAAUAAAUAAAUAAAAUAUGUUAAAAUACAAGCCAUGAUUUCAACAUUUCGUUGAAAUUAGUAUUGGACAAUUCUUGGAAAUUGGAAUCGGAAAAAUACAUAAAAAUUUGUUGACUUCA